GGGUCAGUAGGUUGGUCGUGCCACCGGUACGUACUGGUCUCACUGAUUCCUCCUUCCUGAAGAACCGUAAUGCCAUUAAUCUGGUGUUGCGGGGAAACAGGACUGUUACUUUGAAAAAAUUAGAGUGUUUAGAGCAAGCUAACGCUUGAAUACAUUAGCAUGGAAUAAUGAAAUAGGACGAUCGAUCCUAUUUUGUUGGUUUCUAGGAUUGACGUA
rnacentral:rRNA from 1 species